UGCUGCAUAUCGAGACUUGUGAUAGCCCAAGCAAGGCUCACAGUGUAUUCUUAGCUCGAAAAACCCAAGUUUCUAUUCUCUCUAUUUCUUCCCAAUUUGAGAUUAUGCUUUGUUCGUUAUUUUUUGUGUGAAAAUUGUUGAGAUUCUUUAAUUUCUGCAUUAAUUUCUUUAAUCAAGCUGUCAAGGGUCAACUCAGGAAUUAAUCUCUCUAAAUUGAUUAGUUAUAAUUUAGUCAUUGGUCUUAGUGAUUGGGAAAUAUUUGUAUUAGCUUCAUAUCCCUGCUUAUUGUUUCUUGGGGCUUGCAUUAUUUUUAACAGGGAACGAAUGAGAAGAUAGAGUAGUUGGAGAUGGAUCUCGAACAAAGUAGGAAGGAAGUUCAAAAAUACCAUGACAUGUAUGUUUUUGAGCAAGAAGAGAGAUUGGGUUUAGAUGUUGAGCUCCAAGAUUGCAAGAAUCUCAGCCCCGUUGGAACAGCAGCAGCUACCCAGCAAUGAGCACCCCUUGCCAGGUACCAGUGGGCCAAAUGUCAUUAGAUGAGCUGUGCCGCUAUGGUGAUGGAUCAUCCAGGGCCAAGCUUACCAUUAUGGCAUGUUAUGGUUGGUGAGGAUGAAGCUUCUGAAGAUUCAAUUGUACAUAAAUUGCGUUGUAACACCUCUUGUCAAAGUUGAGGAUUCAAGGACUCUGUUUAUAGCAUAUGAUAUGGACCUGAGUUUCCUGGCAGGACCAACUAACCGAGGUUCUGGAUUUUGGGAGGAAAUUGAAAGAAACUUGAUUGAGAAGCAUGAGGGAGAUCUUGUUGCUGCCUUUCAGUACUUUGACAAGGAUGGUAGUGGAUCUAUUACCAUCGAUGAGCUCCAAAAAGCCUGUUAAGAACAGGGCCUUUACCUUGAAGAUGAUAUCAGAGAAGUUGAUAAAAAUAGCAUAAGUCUUGUCACUCUCAGUCACAUCUCUCUGCUCCACCUUUUGUAAUCUUAUCUGCAUACUGUAUGGUUUUGUGGUAAGGGCAAUUGGUGGAUAUUAUGUGAAGUAGGAGUCUUACCGUGAAAUUUGAAAGAAUGGUGUAUCAUUUCUGCUAAAGUUUUUUAUGUGUGGUAACAAAAGGUUUUUAUGUGUGGUAACAAAGAAUGACAAUCUAAAAUUUUAACUUGGAGGGUAUUUUGAGGAAAGAUGUUAUUGUUCUUUAUAAGAGUUGUUUCAAACAUUAAAAGCCAACUUUCUUUCGAUGUUUUAGUUCUUUGGCUUGUAUAUUUCUUUGAUUAUUUAGUCAAUUUCUCAUGUUUAUUUUUUGGGUGUUUAUUUUGGUGAAUUUGAAUUUUGGGAUUUGGUUUUGUUUAUUUAUGAAUUUGGACUGAAGUUGUGUUGAUACUACUUAUGGAAGUCAAAUAAAUACCCUUCAACUCAGCUGUUAAAAGUGAUGAGGUUAGUGAUAGACUUCUUUUUUCUUACCUUAGUCUCUGAAAUUUGUUGUCCUGGUUCGAAAAUGAUAGCAGAGUUAGGUUUGACCAAAUUGAAAUCUCUUAAAAUUCUUGUGCUUAUGCAAAUUUAUGUAUAGUCGCCCUACCGCUAAAUUACACAAGAGUAAUUUACUCUCACUUUAAAAUGUUUUGUUACUCAAAUUCAGCUAUAAUUGUUUGGUGGUGGUGUAUUAGAUGCCCACGAGUUUAUUUUCUAUGUUUUAUCCAACAAAUGAAGUAUUAGAUGCCCAUUUCACGUUAGAAGUACACAGUCGCAUUGAGGGUAUUUGAACUCCUGAUUUGAUUUAAAGUGUUGUAGUAACAUGGAUUAAAUAUAUUGUUAAAGCCUCAUUGGCUUCUAUGUUUAAACACUAAGGCUAUUUAAAUCUUCUUUCAGAGAUGUUGUGGGGUUGCACAUUUUCAUGAAAUCACCUUAAUGCAUCAAUAUUUGAAGCCUCAAAAUGUUUUGACAAUC